UACGUAGGGUGCGAGCGUUAAUCGGAAUUACUGGGCGUAAAGCGUGCGCAGGCGGUUUUGUAAGCCCGAUGUGAAAGCCCCGGGCUUAACCUGGGAAUGGCAUUUGGGACUGCAAGGCUUGAGUGCGGCAGAGGAGACUGGAAUUCCUGGUGUAGCAGUGAAAUGCGUAGAUAUCAGGAGGAAUACCGAUGGCGAAGGCAGGUCUCUGGGCUGACACUGACGCUCAUGCACGAAAGCGUGGGGAGCAAACAGG
rnacentral:rRNA from 1 species